GACGAACGCUGGCGGCGUGCCUAAUACAUGCAAGUAGAACGCUGAAGGAGGAGCUUGCUCUUCUGGAUGAGUUGCGAACGGGUGAGUAACGCGUAGGUAACCUGCCUGGUAGCGGGGGAUAACUAUUGGAAACGAUAGCUAAUACCGCAUAACAGUAGAUGUUGCAUGACAUUUACUUAAAAGGUGCAAUUGCAUCACUACCAGAUGGACUUGCGUUGUAUUAGCUAGUUGGUGGGGUAACGGCUCACCAAGGCGACGAUACAUAGCCGACCUGAGAGGGUGAUCGGCCACACUGGGACUGAGACACGGCCCAGACUCCUACGGGAGGCAGCAGUAGGGAAUCUUCGGCAAUGGACGGAAGUCUGACCGAGCAACGCCGCGUGAGUGAAGAAGGUUUUCGGAUCGUAAAGCUCUGUUGUAAGAGAAGAACGAGUGUGAGAGUGGAAAGUUCACACUGUGACGGUAUCUUACCAGAAAGGGACGGCUAACUACGUG
rnacentral:rRNA from 1 species